GAUGAACGCUGGCGGCGUGCCUAAUACAUGCAAGUCGAGCGAACGGACGAGAAGCUUGCUUCUCUGAUGUUAGCGGCGGACGGGUGAGUAACACGUGGAUAACCUACCUAUAAGACUGGGAUAACUUCGGGAAACCGGAGCUAAUACCGGAUAAUAUUAUGAACCGCAUGGUUCAAAAGUGAAAGACGGUCUUGCUGUCACUUAUAGAUGGAUCCGCGCUGCAUUAGCUAGUUGGUAAGGUAACGGCUUACCAAGGCAACGAUGCAUAGCCGACCUGAGAGGGUGAUCGGCCAAACUGGAACUGAGAAACGGUCCAGACUCCUACGGGAGGCAGCAGUAGGGAAUCUUCCGCAAUGGGCGAAAGCCUGACGGAGCAACGCCGCGUGAGUGAUGAAGGUCUUCGGAUCGUAAAACUCUGUUAUUAGGGAAGAACAUAUGUGUAAGUAACUGUGCACAUCUUGACGGUACCUAAUCAGAAAGCCACGGCUAACUACGUG
rnacentral:rRNA from 1 species